rnacentral:lncRNA from 1 species
AUGACGCACGUUGUCCCCAUCACACGUAAACGUCACAGGCAAUGAAUCAUGGGGACGAAGUUACUUGGGUUCGCAUGACAUAAGUUGUUGGCACGGGCCAAACAAACAAAACGGCUGCUCUGAAUGUGCUAGCUUCGACAGGUUCUCGUGGUCGCCGUUUACUCAGUCCACGAGCCAUCCAGGCUGGUGGUUCCCAAGCUUCAAGAGAUGUGCACCACGUUAAUUGAACAGUGUUAUUAAACUCUACUGCCACCCUCUCACCGAAGAAAAUAAAAAUG